GAUGAACGCUGGCGGCGUGCCUAAUACAUGCAAGUCGAGCGAACAGAUGAGGAGCUUGCUCCUCUGACGUUAGCGGCGGACGGGUGAGUAACACGUGGAUAACCUACCUAUAAGACUGGGAUAACUUCGGGAAACCGGAGCUAAUACCGGAUAAUAUAUUGAACCGCAUGGUUCAAUAGUGAAAGACAGUUUUGCUGUCACUUAUAGAUGGAUCCGCGCCGCAUUAGCUAGUUGGUAAGGUAACGGCUUACCAAGGCAACGAUGCGUAGCCGACCUGAGAGGGUGAUCGGCCACACUGGGACUGAGACACGGUCCAGACUCCUACGGGAGGCAGCAGUAGGGAACCUUCCGCAAUGGGCGAAAGCCUGACGGAGCAACGCCGCGUGAGUGAUGAAGGUCUUCGGAUCGUAAAACUCUGUUAUUAGGGAAGAACAAAUGUGUAAGUAACUAUGCACGUCUUGACGGUACCUAAUCAGAAAGCCACGGCUAACUACGUG
rnacentral:rRNA from 1 species